rnacentral:tRNA from 1 species
GGUUGUAGCUCAGUGGAAGAGCACUUGCCUAGCAUGUGUAAGGCACUGGGUUCGAUUCUCAGCACUA